rnacentral:lncRNA from 1 species
GAGAGGCCCGACCGUCCUCCUCACUGUGGCUCUGCCCACGCUCCUGGCUCCCAGGGCCGGGGCACCGGUACAAAGUCAGGGCUCCCGGAACAAGCUGCUCCUGGUGUCCUUCGACAGCUUCCGCUGGAACUACGAGCAGGACGUGGACACCCCCAACCUGGACGCCAUGGCCCGAGAUGGGGUGAAGGCACGCUACAUGACCCCCGCCUUUGUCACCAUGACCAGCCCCUGCCACUUCACCCUGGUCACCGGUGAGUAC